GAAACGCGAUAUUUAGUGCGAAUUGCAGAAUUCAGUGAAUCAUCAAAAUUUUGAACGCAAGUUGCGCUCUUGGGAUAUUCCUGGGAGCAUGCCUCUUUCAGUGUCGGGUCAACAUACCAUCAUCUCUGAUGACUGAUGGUGUUGUGCGCUUUUGGGACGAGCUCUGCUCGGUUCGAACGCGUUAAACAUAACGCACUGCUGGUUUCAGUCACUUCGACUUGACGCGCAAUUCUGCACUUGGACAGUUACUGUUCGCCGUGCAAUUGUCGUCUGCUUGGUCGACGUGGUCUGUCUCCGCUCAAAGCAGCGCUUCCGUCUCCUCACCGAGACAACCCACAAAACAAUGACCUGAGAGAGGUAAGAUUACCCGCUUGACUUAA
rnacentral:misc_RNA from 1 species